GAUGAACGCUGGCGGCGUGCUUAACACAUGCAAGUCGAACGAAGUGGCGAACCGGUGAGUAACGCGUAAUCAACCUGCCCUUCAGAGGGGGACAACAGUUGGAAACGACUGCUAAUACCGCAUACUGAAGGAGGGGAUGGCGUCGGAUUAGCUAGCGGGAGGGGGAACGGCCCACCAAGGCGAAGAUCAGUAGCCUGUCUGAGGGGAUGAACGGCCACAUUGGGACUGAGCCACGGCCCAGACUCCUGAGGGAGGCUGCAGUGGGGAAUCUUCCGCAAUGGAGGAAAGUCUGACGGAGCAACGCCGCGUGGGUGAUGACGGCCUUCGGGUUGUAGAGCUCUGUUGAUCGGGACGCGGUACCUGAAUAGAAGGCCACGGCUAACUACGUGCCAGCCGCCGCGGUAAUUC
rnacentral:rRNA from 1 species